GAUGAACGCUGGCGGCGUGCCUAAUACAUGCAAGUCGAGCGAACAGACGAGGAGCUUGCUCCUCUGACGUUAGCGGCGGACGGGUGAGUAACACGUGGAUAACCUACUUCUAAGACUGGGAGAACUUCGGGAAACCGGAGCUAAUACCGGAUAAUAUAUUGAACCGCAUGGUUCAAUAGUGAAAGACGGUUUUGCUGUCACUUUUAGAUGGAUCCGCGCCGCAUUAGCUAGUUGGUAAGGUAACGGCGUACCAAGGCGACGAUGCGUAGCCGACCUGAGAGGGUGAUCGGCCACACUGGAACUGAGACACGGUCCAGACUCCUACGGGAGGCAGCAGUAGGGAAUCUUCCGCAAAGGGCGAAAGCCUGACGGAGCAACGCCGCGUGAGUGAUGAAGGUCUUCGGAUCGUAAAACUCUGUUAUUAGGGAAGAACAAAUGUGUAAGUAACUAUGCACGUCUUGACGGUACCUAAUCAGAAAGCCACGGCUAACUACGUG
rnacentral:rRNA from 1 species